rnacentral:rRNA from 1 species
CUUCUCCUACGGGAGGCAGCAGUAGGGAAUCUUCGGCAAUGGGGGCAACCCUGACCGAGCAACGCCGCGUGAGUGAAGAAGGUUUUCGGAUCGUAAAGCUCUGUUGUAAGAGAAGAACGUGUGUGAGAGUGGAAAGUUCACACAGUGACGGUAACUUACCAGAAAGGGACGGCUAACUACGUGCCAGCAGCCGCGGUAAUUA